rnacentral:rRNA from 1 species
CAGUAGGGAAUCUUCCGCAAUGGGCGAAAGCCUGACGGAGCAACGCCGCGUGAGUGAUGAAGGUCUUCGGAUCGUAAAACUCUGUUAUUAGGGAAGAACAAAUGUGUAAGUAACUAUGCACGUCUUGACGGUACCUAAUCAGAAAGCCACGGCUAACUACGUGCCAGCAGCCGCGGUAAUACGUAGGUGGCAAGCGUUAUCCGGAAUUAUUGGGCGUAAAGCGCGCGUAGGCGGUUUUUUAAG